rnacentral:rRNA from 1 species
GCCCUGGCAGUCAGAGGCGAUGAAGGACGUGCUAAUCUGCGAUAAGCGUCGGUAAGGUGAUAUGAACCGUUAUAACCGGCGAUUUCCGAAUGGGGAAACCCAGUGUGAUUCGUCACACUAUCAUUAACUGAAUCCAUAGGUUAAUGAGGCGAACCGGGGGAACUGAAACAUCUAAGUACCCCGAGGAAAAGAAAUCAACCGAGAUUCCCCCAGUAGCGGCGAGCGAACGGGGAGGAGCCCAGAGCCUGAAUCAGUGUGUGUGUUAGUGGAAGCGUCUGGAAAGGCGCGCGAUACAGGGUGACAGCCCCGUACACAAAAAUGCACAUGCUGUGAGCUCGAUGAGUAGGGCGGGACACGUGGUAUCCUGUCUGAAUAUGGGGGGACCAUCCUCCAAGGCUAAAUACUCCUGACUGACCGAUAGUGAACCAGUACCGUGAGGGAAAGGCGAAAAGAACCCCGGCGAGGGGAGUGAAAAAGAACCUGAAACCGUGUACGUACAAGCAGUGGGAGCACAGAGCAAUCUGUGUGACUGCGUACCUUUUGUAUAAUGGGUCAGCGACUUAUAUUCUGUAGCAAGGUUAACCGAAUAGGGGAGCCGAAGGGAAACCGAGUCUUAACUGGGCGUUAAGUUGCAGGGUAUAGACCCGAAACCCGGUGAUCUAGCCAUGGGCAGGUUGAAGGUUGGGUAACACUAACUGGAGGACCGAACCGACUAAUGUUGAAAAAUUAGCGGAUGACUUGUGGCUGGGGGUGAAAGGCCAAUCAAACCGGGAGAUAGCUGGUUCUCCCCGAAAGCUAUUUAGGUAGCGCCUCGUGAAUUCAUCUCCGGGGGUAGAGCACUGUUUCGGCAAGGGGGUCAUCCCGACUUACCAACCCGAUGCAAACUGCGAAUACCGGAGAAUGUUAUCACGGGAGACACACGGCGGGUGCUAACGUCCGUCGUGAAGAGGGAAACAACCCAGACCGCCAGCUAAGGUCCCAAAGUCAUGGUUAAGUGGGAAACGAUGUGGGAAGGCCCAGACAGCCAGGAUGUUGGCUUAGAAGCAGCCAUCAUUUAAAGAAAGCGUAAUAGCUCACUGGUCGAGUCGGCCUGCGCGGAAGAUGUAACGGGGCUAAACCAUGCACCGAAGCUGCGGCAGCGACACUAUGUGUUGUUGGGUAGGGGAGCGUUCUGUAAGCCUGUGAAGGUGUGCUGUGAGGCAUGCUGGAGGUAUCAGAAGUGCGAAUGCUGACAUAAGUAACGAUAAAGCGGGUGAAAAGCCCGCUCGCCGGAAGACCAAGGGUUCCUGUCCAACGUUAAUCGGGGCAGGGUGAGUCGACCCCUAAGGCGAGGCCGAAAGGCGUAGUCGAUGGGAAACAGGUUAAUAUUCCUGUACUUGGUGUUACUGCGAAGGGGGGACGGAGAAGGCUAUGUUGGCCGGGCGACGGUUGUCCCGGUUUAAGCGUGUAGGCUGGUUUUCCAGGCAAAUCCGGAAAAUCAAGGCUGAGGCGUGAUGACGAGGCACUACGGUGCUGAAGCAACAAAUGCCCUGCUUCCAGGAAAAGCCUCUAAGCAUCAGGUAACAUCAAAUCGUACCCCAAACCGACACAGGUGGUCAGGUAGAGAAUACCA